rnacentral:rRNA from 1 species
CGUNUGUGAGAGCCGUGGUGAAGUAUGUUGUUUAAUUUGUAGGCACGCAAAGAACCUUACCACAAUUUGUAUAGCUUGUACAAGCGUUGCACGGCCUUUUUUAGUCAAUGUUNUGAAACUUUGGUUAGGUCCAUUAAAUUCAUGCAAGCCCUUGCUUUAUUUAUUAAAAAGUAGUUCGCUGCUGUANGGGUAGCGAUAUAAGGGACUAAGAC